rnacentral:rRNA from 1 species
GAGUUUGAUCCUGGCUCAGAACGAACGCUGGCGGCAGGCUUAACACAUGCAAGUCGAACGAUGUAGCAAUACAUAGUGGCGCACGGGUGAGUAACGCGUGGGAACGUGCCCUUUGGUUUGGGAUAACACCGGGAAACUGGUGCUAAUACCAAAUACGCCCUUCGGGGGAAAGAUUUAUCGCCAAAGGAUCGGCCCGCGUCAGAUUAGCUAGUUGGUGGGGUAAUGGCCUACCAAGGCUCCGAUCUGUAGCUGUUCUGAGAGGAAGAUCAGCCACACUGGAACUGAGACACGGUCCAGACUCCUACGGGAGGCAGCAGUGGGGAAUAUUGGGCAAUGGCCGAAAGGCUGACCCAGCGACGCCGCGUGUGGGAGGAAGCCCUUCGGGGUGUAAACCACUGUCAGGAGGGACGAAAGAGUUCACGGUGAAUAAUCGUGAGCAGUGACGGUACCUUCAAAGGAAGCACCGGCUAACUCUGUGCCAGCAGCCGCGGUAAUACAGAGGGUGCAAGCGUUGUUCGGAAUUACUGGGCGUAAAGCGCGCGCAGGCGGAUCCUGUAAGUCGGAAGUGAAAUUUCACGGCUCAACCGUGAAGCUGCUUCUGAUACUGCGGAUCUGGAGAUCGGUAGAGGUCGGUAGAAUUACAGGUGUAGCGGUGGAAUGCGUAGAUAUCUGUAAGAAUACCCGUGGCGAAGGCGGCCGACUGGGCCGAAUCUGACGCUGAGGCGCGAAAGCGUGGGGAGCAAACAGGAUUAGAUACCCUGGUAGUCCACGCCGUAAACGAUGGGCACUAGGUGCCGGGG